UCUGCCGCGGCCGGGAAGUUCGAACAGAAGUCUGGGGAAGAGCCGGCGAAGAGCAAAGAGAUAAUACAGUACUCCCAGCUAUAGCAAGCGGCAGUUAUGGAGCAUGCGCAGCAGCAGGGGCGGCCGCAGGUCGCCGUUCAAUAAUACUCAAGGGAUUUGUACAGCCCUGUAGGAGACACCUCCAGAGAAAGUAACAGCUCUCAAUUGAUUAGCUGAGGAGACCGAUUUUGUAAAUCACUACUUUUCUAACAACACUGGCACAGAUGGCCAAGCAUUCUCCCUUUUCUCAGAGCUGGUUUUCCAUCCCGGAAAGAGGUCUUACAUAUACAAAGUUACUCUAAUCAGUUGUUUUAAAGAGGUGCCCUUUCCUCUUCUACUGUAUAAAUUACCAAGACCCAUCUUUCUCCUCAUCUGCAACAGCCAUCUUGCCAAGAGAGCCUCUGCUGCCCAAGGAGCUCUCCCAGGAGGUUCUGUCAUAUUACCAGAGGGUCUGAUGCUACUAGAAGAUAAACAGCCCCUUCUCACACUGCCAAAAUUGGGAGAGAUGUGCUUCCAAAAUGAAAAUUGGAAUUUAUUUAUUCUUAGAAACAAUGUUAAAAGAUAGGUACUUAGUACAUCAUGUAUUAAAUGGCUUCUUUAUGGUCUACUCUAGGAAAAUAAGACUGUUUAUGGCACUUUUAUUACAAGUUCU
rnacentral:lncRNA from 1 species